UUUGCUCAGCAUGCAUCCGCUUUGUGGAGUGUUGCCCACAAGAGGGACUUACAGAGAAGCUCUGGAUUGGACUUGAAAAUUUUGUUUUCGACUGGCUAAUCAACGCAGACAGGGUUGUUAGCCAGGUUGAGUAUCCUUCUUUGUGGAUCUGAGGGGCCUUCUUUUGGAUCUCGUUGCGCAGCUCCUUGGUGCUUUGUCUCGGAUCAGAUUUAGUUCUGUGACUGAGCGCUUUUUCAUGGAACUGAAUACUCGUCGGAUAGAUAC